GUUUGAUCAUGGCUCAGGAUGAACGCUAGCGGCAGGCCUAAUACAUGCAAGUCGAACGGGAUCGGGGGCUUCGGUCCCCGUGAGAGUGGCGCACGGGUGCGUAACGCGUGAGCAACCUGCCCGUCCCAGGGGGAUAGCCCGGAGAAAUCCGGAUUAAUACCGCAUGAGAAUGCAGGUCCGCAUGGGCCUUCAUUUAAAUAUUCAUAGGGGACGGAUGGGCUCGCGUGACAUUAGCUGGUUGGCGGGGUAACGGCCCACCAAGGCGACGAUGUCUAGGGGCUCUGAGAGGAGAAACCCCCACACUGGUACUGAGACACGGACCAGACUCCUACGGGAGGCAGCAGUAAGGAAUAUUGGUCAAUGGGGGGAACCCUGAACCAGCCAUGCCGCGUGCAGGAAGACGGCCCUACGGGUUGUAAACUGCUUUUGCACGGGAAUAACCCCCGGUAUGUAUACCGGGCUGAAUGUACCGUGAGAAUAAGGAUCGGCUAACUCCGUGCCAGCAGCCGCGGUAAUACGGAGGAUCCGAGCGUUAUCCCGGAAUUAUUGGGUUUUAAAGGUGCGUAAGCGGCGCGCUUAGUCAGGGUGAAAGACGGUGGCUCAACCAUCGCAGUGCCUUUGAUACUGGCCGCUUGAUGUACCUGAAGUAGCGGAAUGGGCAAGUAGCGGUGAAAUGCAUAAAUAUGCCCCAAAAACCCAUUGCGAAGGCGCUUACCAAUACAUUGACCUUAGCACGAACCUGGGGUACGAAAGGAUUAA
rnacentral:rRNA from 1 species